GGCUCCGGUGCGACGGGCGGUCUUUCUCCAAAGAACCCGGGAGAGAAAGAACCCCACCAAACCCCACCCCUCCUCCCGCCCGGCAGGCCGUCUCACCCUCUCGGGUGAACAUCGCCAACUCGGCUGGAUUUCGGAGCGGUUGUUACCCCUACGCUCAGCGCAGCACGACACCGCGACCGCACAACAACCGCAGACGUACGACGGCCCUCGCCGGGACUGCAAUCCCAGUGCGAGGGCCUGACCACCAAGGAAGACAAGCCCCUUCCCG
rnacentral:ncRNA from 18 species